rnacentral:rRNA from 1 species
AACGAACGCUGGCGGCGCGCCUAAUACAUGCAAGUCGAGCGAGAAGACGUAGCAAUACGUUUGUAAAGCGGCGAACGGGUGAGGAAUACAUGGGUAACCUACCCUCGAGUGGGGAAUAACUAGCCGAAAGGUUAGCUAAUACCGCGUACGCUCCUUGGACUUCGGUUCAGGGAGGAAAGCGAUACCGUGGGUAUCGCGCUCUUGGAUGGGCUCAUGUCCUAUCAGCUUGUUGGGAGGUAACGGCUCACCAAGGCUUCGACGGGUAGCUGGUCUGAGAGGACGAUCAGCCACACUGGCACUGCGACACGGGCCAGACUCCUACGGGAGGCAGCAGUAAGGAAUAUUGCGCAAUGGGCGAAAGCCUGACGCAGCGACGCCGCGUGGGGGAUGAAGGUC